GACGAGCGCUGGCGGCGUGCUUAACACAUGCAAGUCGAGCGGUAAGGCCCUUUCGGGGGUACACGAGCGGCGAACGGGUGAGUAACACGUGGGUGACCUGCCCUCAGCUCUGGGAUAAGCCUGGGAAACCGGGUCUAAUACCGGAUAUGACUCCAUGACGCAUGUUGUGGGGUGGAAAGCCUUGUGCGGCUGAGGAUGGGCCCGCGGCCUAUCAGCUUGUUGGUGGGGUGAUGGCCUACCAAGGCGACGACGGGUAGCCGGCCUGAGAGGGCGACCGGCCACACUGGGACUGAGACACGGCCCAGACUCCUACGGGAGGCAGCAGUGGGGAAUCUUGCGCAAUGGGCGAAAGCCUGACGCAGCGACGCCGCGUGAGGGAUGACGGCCUGGUGUAACU
rnacentral:rRNA from 1 species